rnacentral:rRNA from 1 species
UCAGGCCUAACACAUGCAAGUCGAACGGUAACAGGAAGAAGCUUCGCUUCUUUCGCUGACGAGUGGCGGACGGGUGAGUAAUGUCUGGGAAACUGCCUGAUGGAGGGGGAUAACUACUGGAAACGGUAGCUAAUACCGCAUAACGUCGCAAGACCAAAGAGGGGGACCUUCGGGCCUCUUGCCAUCGGAUGUGCCCAGAUGGGAUAGCUAGUAGGUGGGGUAACGGCUCACCUAGGCGACGAUCCCUAGCUGGUCUGAGAGGAUGACCAGCCACACUGGAACUGAGACACGGUCCAGACUCCUACGGGAGGCAGCAGUGGGGAAUAUUGCACAAUGGGCGCAAGCCUGAUGCAGCCAUGCCGCGUGUAUGAAGAA